GGGUGCGAUCAUACCAGCACUAAUGCACCGGAUCCCAUCAGAACUACGAAGUAAAACGUGCUUGGCCGAGAGUAGUACUAAGAUGGGUGACCUCUUGGGAAGUCCUCUUGUUGCACACC
rfam:Ricinus communis cultivar Hale ctg_1100012355279, whole genome shotgun sequence.